AGAAAAGAUAUAAACGGAGACAGAGAAUGCACCAUGGUUGUUCUUAAUGUGUUUGCAGACCUCUGUGACUUUCUAGGGCAGGAGCCUUGUGUAUCUUCUGGUCCAGCACACAGGAAGCACCAAUAAGAAGGAGCUUGAGUUCUAUCCCGUUCCUGACAAUUUUGCAUGUUUUCCCUAUCUGCCACGUUGGAGGCAAGCACACCUCUGCCCUCCUGAGGCCCUAUCUGUCGCAGACACACAGGAAGACUACAAUUCUAUGCAGUAACAUUAUUUAAUUGUGAGACCUUCUACCACUUUUGCAUCCCCUACAGAAUUAGCGAGAGAAGUGCAAUCUCUCAGCCUGGAGUAUUGAGUCACCGCAUGAAGGUGCAUGUUCUGGAGUUGCCUGGCUCUGGAAUCCAAUUUGCAUGAAUGAAAAAUAAACUGUUGUCAUGUUAAGCCAUUGAGGUUUUGGGGUCAUUUGUGGCAAUAGCAUAACCCAACCUUUUCUAAUAAAUGUGUUUUCUGAUGAAAAAUUUAAAU
rnacentral:lncRNA from 1 species